GUGCCAGCAUCCGCGGUAAUACGUAGGUGGCAAGCGUUGUCCGGAAUUAAUGGGCGUAAAGCGCGCGCAGGCGGUUCCUUAAGUCUGAUGUGAAAGCUCACGGCUCAACCGUGGAGGGUCAUUGGAAACUGGGGAACUUGAGUGCAGAAGAGGAGAGUGGAAUUCCAAGUGUAGCGGUGAAAUGCGUAGAGAUUUGGAGGAACUCCAGUGGCGAAGGCGACUUUCUGGUCUGUAACUGACGCUGAGGCGCGAAAGCGUGGGGAGCAAACAGGAUUAGAUACCCGCGUAGUCC
rnacentral:rRNA from 1 species